UGUGGGCAGGGCCCUGGGGAGCUGAGGCUCUGGGGGUGGCCGGGGCUGACCCCUGGGCCUCUGCUCCCCAGUGUCUGACCGUG
rnacentral:pre_miRNA from 8 species